rnacentral:lncRNA from 1 species
GUCCAGAUGAAAACACGUAGCAUACUACAAUAAUUAAAAUGGAGUAAAAAUGGAACAAUAUAUAAACAAAUAUACAACCUAUCGAGAACAAAUAAAACCAACAACAGACAUGAAGC